rnacentral:rRNA from 1 species
GAUGAACGCUGGCGGCGUGCCUAAUACAUGCAAGUCGAGCGAACGGACGCGAAGCUUGCUUCUCUGAUGUUAGCGGCGGACGGGUGAGUAACAUGUGGAUAACCUACCUAUAAGACUGGGAUAACUUCGGGAAACCGGAGCUAAUACCGUAUGAUAUUUUGAACCGCAUGGUUGAAAAGUGAAAGACGGUCUUGCUGUCACUUCUAGAUGGAUCCGCGCUGCUUUAGCUAGUUGGUACGGUAACGGCUUACGAAGGCAACGAUGCCUAGCCGACCUGAGAGCGUGAUCGGCGACACUGGAAGUGAGACACGGUCCAGGGUCCUACGGGAGGCAGCAGUAGCGAAUCUUCCGCAAUGGGCGAAAGCCUGACGGAGCAACGCCACGUGAGUGAUGAAGGUCUUCGGAUCGUAAAACUCUGUUAUUGGGGAAGAACAUAUGUGUAAGUGACUGUGCACAUCUUGACGGUACCUAAUCAAGAAGCAACGGCUAACUACGUG